UGGUCAUUCCCAAGGCCUUAAAAUGCAAUUUCUCACUUGCUGUGGACAUGACCAUAAAAGAAACUCCCCACCCUUUGCUACCUUGCUAGCAAUCAGCCUAUUGGGGACAUUU